rnacentral:rRNA from 1 species
GACGAACGCUGGCGGCGUGCUUAACACAUGCAAGUCGAGCGAUGAAGCACCUUCGGGUGUGAAUUAGCGGCGAACGGGUGAGGAACACGUGAAGAAUCUGCCUUCAACUCUGGGAUAACUCCGGGAAACCGGGGCUAAUACCGGAUAUGAGCCUUGAUCGCAUGAUCGGGGCUGGAAAGUUUUUCGGUUGAAGAUGACUUCGCGGCCUAUCAGCUUGUUGGUGAGGUAAUGGCUCACCAAGGCGACGACGGGUAGCCGGCCUGGGAGGGCGACCGGCCCCACUGGGACUGAGACACGGACCAGACUCCUACGGGAGGCAGCAGGGGGGAAUAUUGCACAAUGGGCGCAAGCCUGAUUCAGCGACGCCGCGUGAGGGAUGACGGCCUUCGGGUUGUAAACCUCUUUCGGCACUGACGAAGCGCAAGUGACGGUAGGUGCAGAAGAAGGACCGGCCAACUACGUGCCAGCCGCCGCCGUAA